rnacentral:rRNA from 1 species
GACGAACGCUGGCGGCGUGCUUAACACAUGCAAGUCGAACGGAAAGGCCCUGCUUUUGUGGGGUGCUCGAGUGGCGAACGGGUGAGUAACACGUGAGUAACCUGCCCUUGACUUUGGGGUAACUUCAGGAAACUGGGGCUAAUACCGGAUAGGAGCUCCUGCUGCAUGGUGGGGGUUGGAAAGUUUCGGCGGUUGGGGAUGGACUCGCGGCUUAUCAGCUUGUUGGUGGGGUAGUGGCUUACCAAGGCUUUGACGGGUAGCCGGCCUGAGAGGGUGACCGGCCACAUUGGGACUGAGAUACGGCCCAGACUCCUACGGGAGGCAGCAGUGGGGAAUAUUGCACAAUGGGCGGAAGCCUGAUGCAGCAACGCCGCGUGCGGGAUGACGGCCUUCGGGUUGUAAACCGCUUUCGCCUGUGACGAAGCGUGAGUGACGGUAAUGGGUAAAGAGGCACCGGCUAACUACGUG